rnacentral:rRNA from 1 species
UCUGGUUGAUCCUGCCAGAGGUUACUGCUAUCGGUGUUCGCCUAAGCCAUGCGAGUCAUAUGUUCUUCGUGAACAUGGCGUACUGCUCAGUAACACGUGGAUAACCUGCCCUUGGGACCGGGAUAACCCCGGGAAACUGGGGAUAAUACCGGAUAACGCAUAUCUGCUGGAAUGCUUUAUGCGUAAAAUGGAUUUGUCUGCCCAAGGAUGGGUCUGCGGCCUAUCAGGUAGUAGUGGGUGUAAUGUACCUACUAGCCUACGACGGGUACGGGUUGUGAGAGCAAGAGCCCGGAGAUGGAUUCUGAGACAUGAAUCCAGGCCCUACGGGGCGCAGCAGGCGCGAAAACUUUACAAUGCGGGAAACCGUGAUAAGGGGACACCGAGUGCCAGCAUCAUAUGUUGGCUGUCCAGAUGUGUAAAAUACAUCUGUUAGCAAGGGCCGGGCAAGACCGGUGCCAGCCGCCGCGGUAACACCGGCGGCCCGAGUGGUGAUCGUGAUUAUUGGGUCUAAAGGGUCCGUAGCCGGUUUGGUCAGUCCUCCGGGAAAUCUGACGGCUCAACCGUUAGGCUUUCGGUGGAUACUGCCAGACUUGGAACCGGGAGAGGUAAGAGGUACUACAGGGGUAGGAGUGAAAUCUUGUAAUCCCUGUGAGACCACCUGUGGCGAAGGCGUCUUACCAGAACGGGUUCGACGGUGAGGGACGAAAGCUGGGGGCACGAACCGGAUUAGAUACCCGGGUAGUCCCAGCCGUAAACGAUGCUCGCUAGGUGUCAGGCAUGGCGCGACCGUGUCUGGUGCCGCAGGGAAGCCGUGAAGCGAGCCACCUGGGAAGUACGGCCGCAAGGCUGAAACUUAAAGGAAUUGGCGGGGGAGCACAACAACGGGUGGAGCCUGCGGUUUAAUUGGACUCAACGCCGGACAACUCACCGGGGACGACAGCAAUAUGUAGGCCAGGCUAAAGACCUUGCCUGAAUCGCUGAGAGGAGGUGCAUGGCCGUCGCCAGUUCGUACUGUGAAGCAUCCUGUUAAGUCAGGCAACGAGCGAGACCC